UUUCAUAUUUAUCAGCAGUUAAUUGCAAUCACUGCUGCUUUAUGACUUCACAGAGGUCUUCGUCUUCAAGGCUCAGUCAUUGUUUCCUGCUGGGUGGUGGAGCUCAAUGAUCACUGUCUUUUCCCACCAUUCAACUCACAGAGAUGCAAGCUCAGAUGAAUUUUCCAGCCUGCAAUUGGGAGAGGCAGUGGCUCAAUCACAAUUGCAUUAAAGGAAGCAUUAGGAGCCCAAGCACUGUCCAUCGGAAAAUGUUUUGGGUUGACUUAGGCAGUUUUCCAAAGGGACUUUGGGAAUGAACUAAGAUGCUGAAUAUGAAUCUGGCUUCCUUGGAGGCAUUGGCAGGAUAAUGGCUGAGGGCUCUGAGGACCCAGAAGAGAGUCAAGAUUUGGAAGGAGCCUGAGACACUGAAUGACCAUUCUGAAGACCACACCACUAGAAAAAAAAAAAAAACCUAUUUGCUACCCAAUGACCAUCAUUAGGGUGAAAACCUUAUAGUGUUAGUCACUUCUUUAUGGAAGAGACUUUUUAUGAGCA